GAUAUCUCAACCAGGUUGUUGUU
rnacentral:siRNA from 1 species